rnacentral:rRNA from 1 species
UACGUGGGGGGGCAAGCGUUGUCCGGAAUCAUUGGGCGUAAAGCGCGUGUAGGCGGCUCGGUAAGUCCGCUCUGAAAGUCCAAGGCUCAACCUUGGGAUGCGGGUGGAUACUGCCGGGCUCGAGUCCGGAAGAGGCGAGUGGAAUUCCUGGUGUAGCGGUGAAAUGCGCAGAUAUCAGGAGGAACACCAAUGGCGAAGGCAGCUCGCUGGGACGUGACUGACGCUGAGACGCGAAAAGCGUGGGGAGCAAACAGG